rnacentral:tRNA from 1 species
CAGGGAGACAACAAAAUGUUUAAUAUUAAUUUUGUCACCUUAGGUCGAUCGGUAUCUCACAUUCUUAAUUUAUUAAGGAUUUUAUUUCCUAAGUUUUUUCUAGGUCACACCCAUUUUUUUCCUGGGCCAUUAGCUCAGGUGGUUAGAGCGCACCCCUGAUAAGGGUGAGGUCCCUGGUUCAAGUCCAGGAUGGCCCAUAUCUCUAUGUUGGGGGUAUAGCUCAGUUGGUAGAGCGCCUGCUUUGCAAGCAGGAUGUCAGCGGUUCGAGUCCGCUUACCUCCACUGAUUACCACCUCUUCCAUAAUUUUUACGAGGAAAAUGUUAUGAGGUGUGAUCAAAUUCUGAACGAUUCUAGCUUCCUAAUAAAACCAAUUAAGAUGCUGGACUCAUUGAAUUAAUUUCAUUGUUUUCAGAGAACCUUGACAACUGCAUAGAUUAUUUUUAAAGACAAUAAGCAUCUUUAAUGAUGCAGAUUUAUUAUUUGUGCGAAUGCAUUAAUAACAAUUCUAUUAAGCUGAUGCUUCAAUUUUUGAAGUUAUU